GCCCGGCUGGCUCAGUUGGAAGAGUACGUGACUCGUGAUCUCGGGGUUAUGAGUUUGAGCCACACGUUGGGCA
rnacentral:tRNA from 1 species